rnacentral:lncRNA from 1 species
AGCUCUUAUAACUAGUCUCAGGCCUCAUAGGAAUGUUUAGAGCAUUAAAUGAGGUCGGUUAGGCUGCAGGUCAGUGCCCUGCAUACUGUGAGAAUUCAGUAAAUGUCAAUAGUUAUUAUUAUGCCUAGUUUGCUCAUAAGUUCAUGUCUGUCUCUUCCUGUGUUGGAUUCCCAAGACCAAGCACCAGUACCUGGCAGGUAGGAGGAACCCAACAAUGAUCAAUAAAGGAUCUACCAGUAGACCAGCCAGAGCUUACUGGUGUCUUGGCACCUGAAGUAGGGAGGUGCUAUCCAUGUGAAGCAAGAGUUUCUCCAUGUCAGGCCAGCACAUGGCUGGGGAUGCCCCCAAGCCAGCCUCCUGGUCUUCAAAUCCCAGAAUGGAGAGAGCAGAGGGCUCAGCAGGAGAGAGCUGUCACUUUGGGCCUUGGGACGUGCCUGUCCUCACCCUCACAAGCAUAUUGUGUCAUGAGCGAGACUUGGCCCAGCCUGCCCACCCUUCCCUGACUUCUGAGUGCUUCUACCUCCUGCAGUGUGGCUCUUGCCAGCUUGCUUGGAGAUAUAUGUUUAGGGCUCUUCUUACCCACCAGACUGGGCCAACACAGAGUCCUAUUUCUCUUUGUAUUCCUAACUUUGUCAGGCCCCAUGCUGUGGAUAAGGGAUGCCACACUGACAAACAGGGACACUGGGGAAGAGCCCUAUGAGCAGGAUGAGCAAGAACCUGCCGUGGGGGGGGGGCAGUUUAGCCAAGGGAACUGUAAAGUCAGGGCACAGAGGUGGCUAGUUCUAGUGGCAGAAAGGCCAGGGAGACUGGAGCUAGAGGGCCAAAAGGUGCUGAGUUAAGAGAUGAGCAGGGCCAGGCUGUGGAGGUCUUCAGGCCAUGGGAAGAGGGCUGUGGCUUACCCUAAGCACAGGGGCAGAGGCCAUCAUUGGAGGUGGGGUUAAUUCAGGCCUGUGAAAGCUCUACUGAAGAGAGGCAGGGAGCCUAGAAGAAGCCUGAUGCAAGCAUCCAGGCAAGAGGUGGAGACUGAAACCAGGCUGUAGCAGGGAACAUGAAGGAGGCAGGGCAUACUUCAGAGACAAACAGCUGUAGCACUGAUGACAGCAGGUAUGUAUAUGGGUACCAAGGACAGGUGAAGGAAUAGAGGAAUGGAAGAAGACCUCUAGGAUUUUGGGGAAAAAAAAUUUUUUUUGGUACUGGGGAUCGAACUCAGGUCCUUGCAUUUGUGCAGCAGGCAGCGAAACCACUGAGCUAAAUCCCCGGCCCGGAUUUUGGAAAAUGGAGGAUCCACAAUUGAAAUGGGGAGGCGAAAGAGGACCAGGUUGGACAGGGGCUGGGUGGUGGCAGCAGGAGCUCCGUGUGGGCCGUGCUGAGUUUUCAACACCUAUUAGUCACCAGUGGAAAUGCCAAGUAGUGAUGUGUCUACAAGCUCCCAGCUGGGCAGAGAUGGGGUUUCUCUCUCCUUUGUACUCCAGCACCCUUGCCAGAGCCCAGCACAAUCCUGGCACCAGAUAAGAUUAGUGAGAGAAGGAACGACUGAAGCUGGACGAAAAGGUUUACAGUAGGCUUUCCGAGACCACCAGAGGGCAGCACCAUCCCAAAGACCAGUCUCCCCAGGGUGGUGAAGGCCCUCCACUGUCCUUUCCAAGCCCAGGAGUUCCUUUCCUAAGAAUUGGGGGGGCGGGGGGGGCGGGCUGGAAACCAGCUCUGUGGAGGGGUCCCUUCAGGCCUAGCCAGAGGUGUAGGUCGGGCUUUGGGUGGGAUAGCCCACCUGGGUUUCCAAAUAGUGGGAGGAAGGGGCACUUUGUGGAACAGAAUGGUUGGGAUUUCUGAACCACACAAAGACUCUGGUCUGACAAGUUCAUUGGGCAAAAAUUUUUUAAAUAGGGGCUGUUGCAGAAAACCCAAGCUAGCAUGUGGCUGUGCUCACAGUCCCAAAGAGUCAGGGCAGGGAAUGGGGAGAGGAGGAGGUUAGCGGCCUCCUGCUGUGGUAUCUAAUCUUUUUCUGCCCCAAAUUCUAAGUGCUCCAAGAGCUCAUUCACUGGGUCAUCUAUUCAUUCAUUCAUCAGACGCUGACUGAUGCCUUUCUGAGUCUGGUCCUCUGGUGGACACCAGAGCAAGAGAUGAACCAGGUACUGCUGAUCUGAGAAGCCAACCUAGAAGUGCACAGGGAGGGGAGUCUCUGCCUUGCUAAAAGGUCCUGGAGACUGGCCCAUGAGCUGCCAUGAGGAUUGAGUUCUGUGUCUAGGGCUUGGGGAGGGUUGGGGCUCUGCUGUCUUGGAAAGCAGAGAGGCAUGUUGAGAUGGGGGUGCUGCCUUGAGAUACUCAGCUUUUCACUCUCUGUGUGGGCUCUGGGCAGGGUGAGUUCCUCUUGCCAGGCAAUACAGAGACCCCCAAUCUCUUAGGAGAGGUUUGGCCUCCAUGCUGUGAAAUUACCAGGAAUGAAUUUCUGGAUGGGAUGGGGUGCAGAGAAGGAAGCUGAGCCAAGCAUGCUAGCCAAGGACCUGGGCUUCAAGGGUCCUUGGUCCUGAGUGGGAGUCCUGGAGCCAGGAUGGGUCUGGAGCAAAAGGGGAGGCAGUGGGUGUGGGGUACAUUGGAGUCUGACUGCACUUGUCAGACCUCAGGUUAUUUUUUUUUGGGUACUGGAGAUCGAACUCAGGACUUUUCACUUUUGAGGCAGGCAGUGGCACCACUGAGGUAAAUCCCUGGCCCAGGGCCCAGGUUCUUGCCAAGCUGUUCAGGGUUCUGUGUCCUAGGCUGGAUGUCCAAAGUUCUGGAUGUUGAUCUGGAGUUGAUGGUCCAAGUCCAGGUCAGGGACCUAUCCGAAACACCAGGUCAGGGUUAUGGUAGUGAUCUGGGUCUGAGAUUGGAAUCAAGGUUGGGUUAGAUCAAGGUCUUGGCCUGCUGGAGGUCUGGGGUCAAUGUUGAAGUCUGGGUGUGGAGCCAGAGUUGUGAUCUGUGGUCAUGGUCAUAGUCUGCAGUGGUGCUCCAAGGUCUCAGUCCAAGGUCCUAUUUGGCGUCUAAAGACAGGAUUUUCAACUAAGGACUGGUGUCAGGUCAUGGGUGGACAGUGGUGUCCAAGGUCAGGGAGUCAGGGGUUAGAGUCAGAGUCUGAAAGCUAAGUUCCAGGAUCAUAUUCUGAAAUUUGAGUCCAGGGUCUAGGGUCCUUGUGAUCCAUGACUGGCGUUGGAGAGGGGGGUCUGAUUUUGGAGCCUGGGAUCCACAGAUGUGACUCGAAGUUGUGGCUACAAUCUGAGUCUGAGGGCGUCUUCGGCCAGGGCUCCUGUCGUGUUCCAGGUGCAAGGUGGACAGUCGAGGUCACUGUCAGGGUCUGAGAUUAGGGUCCCACAUCUAGGUCAAGUCUCCGGUUUUAGUGGCGCCCUACGAGAGUUCCGCC